UUAACUGAAACCAAAGAGAGGUAUAUUAUUGUUAAUAAUAAAAUUGAAUAGAUAAUUCCUGUUAAG
rnacentral:tRNA from 2 species